AGUGAACGCUGGCGGUAGGCCUAACACAUGCAAGUCGAACGGCAGCACAGGAGAGCUUGCUCUCUGGGUGGCGAGUGGCGGACGGGUGAGGAAUACAUCGGAAUCUGCCCAGUCGUGGGGGAUAACGUAGGGAAACUUACGCUAAUACCGCAUACGACCUUCGGGGGAAAGAGGGGGAGCGCAAGACCCCUCGCGAUUGGAUAAGCCGAGGUGGGAUUAGCUAGUUGGCGGGGUAAUGGCCCACCAAGGCGACGAUCCGUAGCUGGUCUGAGAGGAUGAUCAGCCACACUGGAACUGAGACACGGUCCAGACUCCUACGGGAGGCAGCAGUGGGGAAUAUUGGACAAUGGGCGCAAGCCUGAUCCAGCCAUACCGCGUGGGUGAAGAAGGCCUUCGGGUUGUAAAGCCCUUUUGUUGGGAAAGAAAUCUUUCAGGCUAAUACCCUGGGAGGAUGACGGUACCCAAAGAAUAAGCACCGGCUAACUUCGUG
rnacentral:rRNA from 1 species